UGAACGCUGGCGGCGUGCUUAACACAUGCAAGUCGCACGAGAACGUUUCAGCUUGCUGAAACUAGUAAAGUGGCGCACGGGUGAGUAACGCGUGGGUAAUCUACCUCCGAAUUGGGGAUAACAUUGCGAAAGCGAUGCUAAUACCGAAUGACAUCUCAAUCACUUCGGUUUUUGAGAUCAAAGGUGGCCUCUCCAUGGAAGCUACUGUUUGGAGAUGAGCCCGCGUACCAUUAGCUUGUUGGUAGGGUAAUGGCCUACCAAGGCGACGAUGGUUAGCUGGUCUGAGAGGAUGAUCAGCCACACUGGAACUGACACACGGUCCAGACUCCUACGGGAGGCAGCAGUGAGGAAUUUUGCGCAAUGGGGGAAACCCUGACGCAGCAACGCCGCGUGAGUGAUGAAGGCUUUCGGGUCGUAAAGCUCUGUCAAGUGAGAAGAACUUGUCCUUUGCUAAUACCACUGGGCACUGACGGUAUCACUGAAGGAAGCACCGGCUAACUCC
rnacentral:rRNA from 1 species